UCAUCUGAUUCAGCGUAUAAUACCCAAGAUUCAGAAUUACUUUGUUAAAGCCCUUACCAAGGCCAAUUCCAACAUCUUGCCGUAAUGUUAUAUUAUUGACAUCUAACCAGUUGCGAUGUACAUGAUGUGGUCACUACUGCAAAAGACAUUUACUACGACGUAGCAACAAAUACGGUUGGCCAAAAACGUCGUAGAAUCUUUAGAUUAUAAGUUCAAGGACGGUUAUUUUAAAAACCCGUCUUUGAAUUGUUAUGUUUUUCUCUCUCUCUUAUUUAUCUUCUCGGGUACACUGUUGCUGACCCUUCAUUUUCCACUCACCCUUCACUUUCCUCUCUCUCAUUGUUGCCUUGUAUCUCCCUUUUUCUUUGUCACAAACCCUAGCGUGGUCAGGUGCCGAAUCUCUGAGUUCGAGAGGCUCAGCUCCACCAGGGUCGGCACCAAUUCUUUCCUCCUCAACUCCUCUGCCCGCAGUUUGUUCUGCCUCCUCACCUCGCUCUUGCUCAGUGCCGCGAUGCCGGUCCCUGGAACCGACAUCGGUUUCAGUGGUGUGCUCCAGCUCGGCUCGAAGGUGUGCCCCAUUUGCCGCUUCGAGAGAUCAUGUGGGAACAGAACGUGAAUUUCAGAGGAGGAGGUAAGGGGUUUGGUGAUGCCGAGGCUGUGAAACUUCUUAGCGAUUCGUUCAAUGGUAGUGGAGAUCGACGGGUUCAGGUUUGAAUCUCGAGAGUGGAGCAACGAAUGUGGAAUCUGGUUUUGGAUUUGGGGAAUUGAAGAGGGGAAAAAUUCAAUGAAGAAGGAAAGGUGUAUUGAAAGUGGAUAUGAGUUGCAGGAAGCAAUAUUUCAGUAGCAGUUACUUACGUCAUGGAACAUGGAUGAAUAAAAAUACGAGGUCCCAAGAUUUCUGUUGACCUCACUGUCUAGUGUGGACGUACCUGUCUUAUGCUCUCCUGUGCUAUUUCAAAAUUCUGCUUUGUCUUCUCUUGACCUACUCGCUAUAUGUGAUUUUCCAUUGUUGGAAAAUAACAACUAAACACGUGAUGGAAUUGCUCGAAACAUAAUCAGGGCAGAGUAGUGGAAGUGUGAAUCUCAUUUGCUGAGUGUUGCUUCCCUUACAUGUAGUCACUCAGGUAAUUGGGCUUGUUUACAUUUCUCUUUGGCCUGUUAAUGCUAUUGUUGUUGUUCUUUGUCUGAGUCUGGUAUAUUGCUGUUGCUAUCAACUUACCCCAAAAUUUAUGCCUAUUUUAUACAAGGGUGAUAAAUAUCCACAUCAAAACAAUGCUAAGUGUCCAGAUGGAACUAGGGACUCCAAUUCCACCAAUUUUGCUAAUCUACUACUGGUUUGAAGUUUCUGUUGCAAGAGGAAUUAAACUUGGACUAACAUUUUUCUUCUCACGGCCUUGCAACAUAUAAGACAGAUAGCACAAGAAUCACGUGGAGUAAAUAAGUAUGGUGGUGGACGCCAACAUGCUUAAGAACAUUUACCCAGAGACUUUGUAGGGGCUUUAAUGAGGUCGUGAAUGGAUUAGUUGAUGAUGUAUGGUCAUUGAUGGGUAUUGAUGGAGUGGAAGAUGUGACUAUAGCCAUAAACUCAUCUCCAAACAAAUUGUGAACUAUGUAUUCCAAAUAAUUUUUUUUGGGUUAUAAGUAAAUUAAUUUAUGAGAUUUCAUGGAUAAA